UCUAAGUAUAAAGCAUACAAUGAAACUGCGAAUGGCUCAUUCAAACAGUUAUAGUUUAUUUGGAUUUUAGUUAAAUGGAUAACCGUAGUAAUUCUAGGGCUAAUACAUGCGUUACCCCAGUAUUUAUUAGACGAGAUGAUUCAUGAUAACUGAUCGAAUUGCUGGCAAUAAGUCAUUCAUGUUUCUGCUUCCCAUCAGAUGGUAGUGUAUUGGACAACCAUGGCAUUCACGGGCUAUCGGGGGAUUAGGGUUCGAUUCCGGAGAGGGAGCCUGAGAAACGGCUACCACUUCUACGGAAGGCAGCAGGCGCGAAAAUUAUCCAAUCCUGAUUCAGGGAGGUAGUGAAACAAAUAAUGAACUAACUAACAAUUGGAGGGCAAGUCGGUGCCAGCAGCCGCGGUAAUUCCAGCUCCAAUAGUGUAUAUUAAUGUUCCUGCAGUUAUUCGAUGCUCGUAGUUGGAUUUCUGCUUCAUCCACCUGUUAAAUAUACUUUUACCCUUUUUCUAUAUUUAUUGUUUUGAGUAAAUUAUAGUGUUUCAGGCAGGCGUGCGCCGGAAUACUUUAGCAUGGAAUAAUCGAAUUGGACUUAUUGUUGGCGGAAAUGGUUAAUAGGGAUAGUUUUUAUUAUCAGGGGAGGCAUUAGUAUUUAAUUUCCAGAGGUGAAAUUCUUUGAAAUAUUAAAGACUAACUUAUGCGAAAGCAUUUAUUAUUGCCAAUAAUGUUUUCAUUAAUCAUUGAACGAAAGUUAGGGGAUCAAAGACGAUCAGAUACCGUCCUAGUCUUAACCAUAAACGUUGCCGACUAGGGAUCGGAGGCCGCCUUCGGCACCUUACGAGAAAUCAAAGUUUUUGGGUUCUGGGGGUAGUAUGGUCGCAAGGCUGAAACUUAAAGGAAUUGACGGAAGGGCACCACCAGGAGUGGAGCUUGCGGCUCAAUUUGACUCAACACGGGAAAUCUUACCAGGUCCAGACAUAGCGAGGAUUGACAGAUUGAUAGCUCUUUCUUGAUUCUAUGGGUAUUUUAUAUAUAUUUUGGUGGUGCAUGGCCGUUCUUAGUUGGUGGAGUGAUUUGUCUGGUUAAUUCCGUUAAACGAACGAGACCUCAGCCUGCUAAACUUCUUAGAGGGACGCAACCACAAGGAAGUUGAGGCAAUAACAGGUCUGUGAUGCCCUUAGAUGUCCUGGGCCGCACGCGUGCUACACUGAUACGUACAACAAGGGGGGUAUAUGCAUUCAGCUGCUCCGAGAUAGAACAGCUAAAUCUAAAAUACGUAUCGUGCUGCGGAUAGAUCGUUGAAAUUAUGGAUCUUGAAGGUGGAAUUCCUAGUAAGCGCGGGUCAUCAGCCCGCGUUGAUUACGUCCCUGCCCUUUGUACACACCGCCCGUCGCUCCUACCAAUCGAGUGGCUCGGUGAACCUCUUUGGACCGCGAAAUUAGAGUGAACCUGGUCACUUAGAGGAAGGAGAAGUCGUAACAAGGUU
rnacentral:rRNA from 1 species